rnacentral:rRNA from 1 species
CAAAACAUAGCUUCAAGAACUUAUAAGAAGUUAAGUCUGCCCAGUGACUAAGUUAAACGGCCGCGUUAAGUGCUAAGGUAGCAUAAUCACUUGCCUUUUUAUUGGAGGCUAGUAUGAAAGGAUCAACGAAGCUUAACUGUCUCUCAUUAUAUUUUUUAAAAUUGAUUUAAAGGUGAAAAAUCCUUUAUUUUUGUGUAGGACGAAAAGACCCUAUAGAGUUUAAAUAUAAUUUCAUUAAUCAAAAUUUAAUGAAAUAUAUUUUUAUUGGGGCAAUAAAAGAACAAUAAAACUCUUAAACUUUUAUAUUAUUAUAAUAAUAUUUAAUCCUCAAAGAGAAUAGAAAAAAACUACCUUAGGGAUAACAGCGUAAUUUUUCCAGAGAGGUCUAAUCGAAGGAAAAGUUUGCGACCUCGAUGUUGGACUAAGAUAACAAUUAAGUGAAGAAACUUAAAAAUGUAGGCCUGUUCGGCCUUUAAUAUCUUACAUG